GACGAACGCUGGCGGCGCGCUUAACACAUGCAAGUCGAGCGAGAACCAGCCUUUCGGGGCUGGGGACAGCGGCGAACGGGUGAGUAACACGUGGGUAAUCAACCCUCGGUACUGGGAUAGCCCGGGGAAACCCGGAUUAAUACCGGAUGGCCCUUUGGAUCAUCGGAUCUGAAGGAAAAGGUAGCUUCGGCCUCCGACCGAGGACGGGCCCGCGGCGGAUUAGCUUGUUGGUGGGGUAACGGCCUACCAAGGCGGCGAUCCGUAGCUGGUCUGAGAGGACGAUCAGCCACACUGGGACUGAGACACGGCCCAGACUCCUACGGGAGGCAGCAGUGGGGAAUCUUGCGCUAAUGCGGGAAACCGUGACGCAGCGACGCCGCGUGAGGGAAGAAGGCCUUCGGGUUGUAAACCUCUUUCAGGAGGGACGAAGCUACUCGGGUUAAUAGCCCAGAGGGUGACGGUACCUCCAGAAGAAGCCCCGGCUAACUACGUGCCAGCAGCCGCUGUAAAAC
rnacentral:rRNA from 1 species